rnacentral:lncRNA from 1 species
CAGAUUUAAAUUGCAAUAAAAUAAACAAAUUAAUUUGAUCAAAUUAAUCUAGUUGGCCAAAUAACGCAAAUUAAUUUUUAAUAAACAUAAAUAGAACGACAAAUUAAUAAAACUGCAAAUUAUAUAAAGCACACAAAUAAAUUGUAGAAUUAUGUAAAAUCGCAGGAAUUAAAUAAAUAACGGAUGAACUUUUAACUCAAGGUAUAUGUGAGCACAGUUUCCUUAAAACAAAUUCGCCCCUCACCGUAG